rnacentral:lncRNA from 7 species
CCUUUCGUUCCGGCGGCUCCUAGAGCGUUUGCUUUGUUCCCGAUAUGUCUCGUCCCUCCGGGGUUAACUUGCAGAUGGUUGACCUGACCAAGCAGGACAGCAUGGAGGUUGGAGGGAGAGAAGGGCAUCGAGGGAGAUGAGAACUCACCUACCAUCUGAAAGUCUUAAGGUUUGCUGACAGACAAAACCGGGCUUUGAAUGGAGCGUGAACUCCUGAGGCGAGCAUUGAUCGACCCUGUUGAUCUCAAAUACUAAUUGCCAGUUUUGUCUGAUGCAUCAGCCCCAGGAAUAAUUCAUUGUUGGCUUUAAUCUAUUUCACUUGAUAAUGGCUUCGAUUUAUUUUCUACAGGCCCGAGAGAGCCGAGGAUGCAGGUGUUGGUCUGAUCUUGAUUUCAGGUACUUUUGGAAUACAGAAUACCAGAUGUGUUCCUGCUGCCCAGCCCCACAAGGCUAUGCAGAAUGCAAAGAAGAGUUACUUUUUGGCUGGGGAGUAGUGGUAUCAUGUGCACUAUUGCUGGAAAUAAUAAAUAUUGGCCUAUCUGUAGAAAUAAAAAUCUGACUAAUGAUAUUUA